GGGACUCGAACUUGUGGGGCUUUCAGCUUGCUGAAGUGUUGAUUUUUCAGGGUUCUGUGGAAGGAAGGGCGCCUUGCUGUCAAAAUGUCUGCAGAACACCUGCUGACAGGGCGGAGAGCAUGGGGCUACAGGAUAAACACACUGCGCUACCGGUGGUGGCUUUGCAGGAGAAUCAGCUGCGUCAUAACAAAGAAGUGAUAAAAGAGCAAUGUCAAUCAAGCAGGUAAGAAGGAAGUUGAGGGAGGAGGACAGAUGGGAAAUCUCCUUGCUUCAACAAAAAUACCAGUGUCAUUGCUUUUUCUUAUCACAGCUGCAAAAUUAUCCCUUUUUCUUGCAGGAAAAGUGGCAAAAAUCCUGCAGGCACAUAGGGAGCCUUCACACUAGCAGAGCAAAGAAGGGCCCAGUGUUUUCAUGCUCCAAAACCCAGACCUUGUAAGGACGGUUGUUGAAGUGCUGGUAGGGGGAGAAGGUGAUGAUGUGUGACAAAGCCUGCUGCCAUCUAUGUUAAAUACACUGCAGAUGUUCCCUGAUGGGACUGCUGCAUAAUAUUCUGCAGCUGACAACCAAACUGAGCGCUAAGAGUGGAAAAGGAGGUGGCCUGUGACUUUAGCACUGAAGAUCAGUGAUUCUCUUUGACCUCUGCUGCCAGCAACAGCCCUGGUUUCACAGUGCUGCUGGUCCUGGAGAGACCCACAAGCUGUCAGCCUGACUUUGGCAACCCAGUGGCUGGAACAAAGUGCAGUGUUUCUUGAGCUGCAGCCACGUCAUGGCCUGAUUAUGGGUAGUGAUAUCCCUCAGCACAGCCAAGGCUGCUCAUAUCAGAGGCGCUGAGCCAGCAUGGGCACCGGCUGUCUCCUCUGGUGAGAACAGUGUUCAGAAGUACACACAGAAUGCUGAGGCUGAGAAAAACAGCACAGCAAGGAGGAAGGGAUGCUGUUAAACAGUCACAGUUCCUGUUUCCAUGAGGCCAGUUGCUCUGAGUCAGGACUCCUGAAUCAAACACACAUCUAAACUGACUCAAUUUCCAGUAUCGUACAGACCUUAUACAACAUGGACUUUGGCUACAUUACCCAACAUAAUUAUCAAAUUGCAUGGGUAAAUCACAUCCUACGUCCAAAGAGGAAGGGAGCCAUAUGGGACUCAGGCAGAGGCUGCAGCACACUCAGAAUGUUCUGGGAGAAGUGAGCUUGUCCUAACAGGUGAGCAGAGCCUGGCACACCCCGAGGAAGACAUUGUUCUGGUCCAGCCCUCUCUACUACAAACAGGGAAAAUGUUUUCAAAGGGAUGUGGAAGGAACUGAUGGCACUGCCACAAAGAAACCCCUUUCCUACCAGGAGUUACAGCUGCCUGCCCAAGUGCCUGUUGUGGGGGAGAGAGAGACAAACAAGAACAGCAAGACUUGUUGUGAGUUGAGUGAUGGAGAUGAGACUCAGAGAGCACAAUGGAGACAAAUACCCCUGCCAUGCCAAAAGCAAAGCCUGUGCUGAUGUGAGCAUCCCCAGAGCUGGAAAAGCCUCUGGUGACAGUCGCUGCCAGGGUCACAUCAGAGGGUAAAGGAGGCAGCACCAGGAGUAAAAGCUUCCAAAGGGCAACUGCUGCCAUUGCUCAACCACAUCAGAGCACAGAAUCUGAAAGGUAGACAUAGGGUUUAAUUAAAUUACAAAGUGCACAAAUCUCAGUGUUGUGCAAUAAUAAUAAGGAAAGCCUGUGCAAAUAUAAUACGACUAUUCUGUCAUCUCUCCUGUCGCAAGCACAUGAUGAGCCAUCAAGGUUGGAAAAGACCUCAUCAACACACACUUUGAGUUUCAAGGCCAUCAGCCAAUGGUUCUGAAGCAAUGGAUUUCCAGGGUACAUCUUAUACUGAAAUACAAACUCUAAAACAUCUUCAGUUACCCAGCCACUGAAGUUCAACUACACCAACCAUCAUAGAAUCAUAGGAUCACUGAGGUUGCAAAGACCACUAAGAUCAUCUUGUACAACUACCAGCCCAGCAAAGCAUGUCCACUUGCUCCAUCUUUACAGCUGAACCUUCCACUCCACCCCACCUGUUUCAACCUUUUUUUCCCCUUUUCCUUCUUUAUGAACCAGCUUUCUCUACAAACCUGUUCAACUGACUGUCCAGUUCUAAUUCCCUCUGGAUGGUAACAGACCCAGCUACCAUGUUUCCCUGCUACUAGAGGACAGGGCAUCUUGAAACUCUAAAACAGAAAAAAAUAAAGGAAAGCAGAGUACUGCUGAGAUAGAAACUCAACAGAAACACAACUCAGUAAUCCAGAGUAUUGGUGGACUGAACCCUAGCAUCAUAGGUGUUGUGUGUAGCUGGGUUAAGUCCAGUAAUAGGAAAGUGUUGGAGAGAUGAAGUAAAUAAAUUCAGUUUCCAUUACA